CUACACAUGCAGUCGAGCGGGGAGGGUAGCUUGCUACCCAACCUAGCGGCGGACGGGUGAGUAAUGCUUAGGAAUCUGCCUAUUAGUGGGGGACAACGUUUCGAAAGGAACGCUAAUACCGCAUACGCCCUACGGGGGAAAGCAGGGGCUCUUCGGACCUUGCGCUAAUAGAUGAGCCUAAGUCAGAUUAGCUAGUUGGUGGGGUAAAGGCCUACCAAGGCGACGAUCUGUAGCGGGUCUGAGAGGAUGAUCCGCCACACUGGGACUGAGACACGGCCCAGACUCCUACGGGAGGCAGCAGUGGGGAAUAUUGGACAAUGGGGGGAACCCUGAUCCAGCCAUGCCGCGUGUGUGAAGAAGGCCUUUUGGUUGUAAAGCACUUUAAGCGAGGAGGAGGCUCCUAUAGAUAAUACCUAUAGUGAGUGGACGUUACUCGCAGAAUAAGCACCGGCUAACUCUGUGCCAGCAGCCGCGGUAAUACAGAGGGUGCGAGCGUUAAUCGGAUUUACUGGGCGUAAAGCGUACGUAGGCGGCUUUUUAAGUCGGAUGUGAAAUCCCUGAGCUUAACU
rnacentral:rRNA from 1 species